UACGGGGGGAGCAAGCGUUGUUCGGAUUUACUGGGCGUAAAGGGCGCGUAGGCGGCCUCUGCAAGUCGACUGUGAAAUCUCCGGGCUUAACCCGGAAAGGUCAGCCGAUACUGCAGGGCUAGAGUGCAGAAGGGGCAACUGGAAUUCUCGGUGUAGCGGUGAAAUGCGUAGAUAUCGAGAGGAACACCUGCGGCGAAGGCGGGUUGCUGGGCUGACACUGAGGAACGAAAGCCAGGGGAGCAAACGGG
rnacentral:rRNA from 1 species